rnacentral:rRNA from 1 species
CCUACGGGUGGCAGCAGUGGGGAAUAUUGCACAAUGGGGGAAACCCUGAUGCAGCGACGCCGCGUGAGUGAAGAAGUAAUUCGUUAUGUAAAGCUCUAUCAGGAGGGAAGUAAAUGACGGUACCUGAGUAAGAAGCCCCGGCUAACUACGGGCCAGCAGCCGCGGUAAUACGUAGGGGGCAAGCGUUAUCCGGAUUUACUGGGUGUAAAGGGAGCGUAGACGGCGGUGCAAGUCUGGAGUGAAAGGCCGGGGCUCAACCCCCGGACUGCUCUGGAAACUGUACGGCUUGAGUGCAGGAGAGGUAAGUGGAAUUCCUAGUGUAGCGGUGAAAUGCGUAGAUAUUAGGAGGAACACCAGUGGCGAAGGCGGCUUACUGGACUGUAACUGACGUUGAGGCUCGAAAGCGUGGGGAGCAAACAGGAUUAGAUACCCGGGUAGUC